UUAUACCGUGAAACUGCGAAUGGCUCAUUAAAUCAGUUAUCGUUUAUUUGAUAGUACCUUACCACUUGGAUAACCGUGGUAAUUCUAGAGCUAAUACAUGCUAAAAACCCCGACUUCGGAAGGGGUGUGUUUAUUAGAUAAAAAACCAAUGCCCUUCGGGGCUCUUUGGUGAUUCAUGAUAACCUAACGGAUCGCAUGGCCUUGCGCCGGCGACGGUUCAUUCAAAUUUCUGCCCUAUCAACUUUCGAUGGUAAGGUAUUGGCUUACCAUGGUUUCAACGGGUAACGGGGAAUUAGGGUUCGAUUCCGGAGAGGGAGCCUGAGAAACGGCUACCACAUCCAAGGAAGGCAGCAGGCGCGCAAAUUACCCAAUCCCGACACGGGGAGGUAGUGACAAUAAAUACUGAUACAGGGCUCUUUUGGGUCUUGUAAUUGGAAUGAGUACAAUUUAAACCCCUUAACGAGGAACAAUUGGAGGGCAAGUCUGGUGCCAGCAGCCGCGGUAAUUCCAGCUCCAAUAGCGUAUAUUAAAGUUGUUGCAGUUAAAAAGCUCGUAGUUGAAACUUGGGUCUGGCUAGCGGGUCCGCCUCACCGCGUGCACUUGUCCGGCUGGACCUUUCCUUCUGGAGAACCUCAUGCCCUUCACUGGGUGUGUUGGGGAACCAGGACUUUUACUUUGAAAAAAUUAGAGUGUUCAAAGCAGGCCUUUGCUCGAAUACGUUAGCAUGGAAUAAUAGAAUAGGACGUGCGGUCCUAUUUUGUUGGUUUCUAGGAUCGCCGUAAUGAUUAAUAGGGAUAGUCGGGGGCAUCAGUAUUCAAUUGUCAGAGGUGAAAUUCUUGGAUUUAUUGAAGACUAACUACUGCGAAAGCAUUUGCCAAGGAUGUUUUCAUUAAUCAGUGAACGAAAGUUAGGGGAUCGAAGACGAUCAGAUACCGUCGUAGUCUUAACCGUAAACUAUGCCGACUAGGGAUCGGGCGAUGUUUCUAUCUUGACUCGCUCGGCACCUUACGAGAAAUCAAAG
rnacentral:rRNA from 1 species